rnacentral:rRNA from 1 species
GACGAACGCUGGCGGCGUGCUUAACACAUGCAAGUCGUACGGUAAGGCCCUUUCGGGGGUACACGAGUGGCGCACGGGUGAGUAACACGUGAGUAACCUGCCCACAACUUUGGGAUAACGCUAGGAAACUGGUGCUAAUACUGGAUAUGUGCUCCUGCUGCAUGGUGGGGGUUGGAAAGCUCCGGCGGUUGUGGAUGGACUCGCGGCCUAUCAGCUUGUUGGUGGGGUAGUGGCCUACCAAGGCGGCGACGGGUAGCCGGCCUGAGAGGGUGACCGGCCACAUUGGGACUGAGAUACGGCCAAGACUCCUACGGGAGGCAGCAGUGGGGAAUAUUGCACAAUGGGCGCAAGCCUGAUGCAGCAACGCCGCGUGCGGGAUGACGGCCUUCGGGUUGUAAACCGCUUUCAGCAGGGACGAAGCUUUUUGUGACGGUACCUGCAGAAGAAGCACCGGCUAACUACGUG